rfam:Balearica pavonina gibbericeps contig80227, whole genome shotgun sequence.
ACUUUUAAAGGAUAAUAGCAAUCCACUGGUCUUAGGAGCCAUCCACCUUGGUGCGAGUCCAAAUAGAAGUA